rnacentral:rRNA from 1 species
UACGGAGGGUGCAAGCGUUGUCCGGAUUCAUUGGGUUUAAAGGGUGCGCAGGCGGGACAUUAAGUCAGGGGUGAAAGACGGUUGCUCAACAAUCGCAGUGCCUUUGAUACUGGUGUUCUUGGGUGACCUUGAGGUAGGCGGAAUGGGUGGUGUAGCGGUGAAAUGCAUAGAUGCCACCCAGAACUCCGAUUGCGAAGGCAGCCUACUGGAGGUUUACCGACGCUCAGGCACGAAAGCGUGGGGAUCAAACAGG